CAGUCGCCACGGUAAUACGUAGGUGGCAAGCGUUGUCCGGAAUUAUUGGGCGUAAAGGGCUCGCAGGCGGUUUCUUAAGUCUGAUGUGAAAGCCCCCGGCUCAACCGGGGAGGGUCAUUGGAAACUGGGAAACUUGAGUGCAGAAGAGGAGAGUGGAAUUCCACGUGUAGCGGUGAAAUGCGUAGAGAUGUGGAGGAACGCCAGUGGCGAAGGCGACUCUCUGGUCUGUAACUGACGCUGAGGAGCGAAAGCGUGGGGAGCGAACAGGAUUAGAUACCCGGGUAGUCCCUGUCUCUUAUAU
rnacentral:rRNA from 1 species